GAGAUCUGAUCGGUAGUGAGACAGGUGACACGCGAUCGGUACGAUGUUAGCUCUAACACUGAAUAGAAGUGCGUUCGACCUGGCGGAAUUGCCGCGGUAAACUCAAGUGGCUCAGCCCUCGCUUGUGAAACAACUUUGUUUGUAAUUUUGAAUCCAAAUAAAUAACAAUUGUCAUUGAUUAUUUUCGAGUACGUAAAACAUAAUAAGAAUCCAUUUAUAAAAUUAUUCUGAGGAAGUAAAGUACACUGUAUAUUUCAAUAAUGUAUUUGAUAAAAAAGAAGAAAAAAUAACAAGUUAACUGAUAUAUUCGUGACUUGAAGAUAAAUAUGUAUGAAGAUUAUAAAUAUCGAUUGAAGGAAGAUUACAAUCAGGGACAUUAUUGUCACUCUGGUUGCGAUGCUGCUUUAUAUAUUUUUUUUUCGUUAUCGUUACACUGAAGUACAAUAUCGUGCUCGUUGUAAAAUUAAACGAGCAACGUGUUAAUUGUGUCAUAAAAAGUAAGCGAUGUAGAUAUAAAUAUAUGUUAUAUAUAUAUGUUUAACCGGAUGAGCUGGCGGAAACUAGAAAACUACAAAUGUUAACAUGCGACAUUGACAUACACACAUGAUCCUGCAUACGAAGCUUAAAUCGAUAACGAAUUUGAUAUUCAUCAUUUCUAUAAAUAAACUUUACAAUUUGUAUAAUGGAUGAUUUAUUAAAUAGAAAGAAGUAAG